UUCCUACAUAACUAUUAAUAAUAAAGAAUUCUUUAGAAAGUCUACUGAUAUCAACUGUGUGUGUAUAUGCAUGCAUGUCACAUGAUGUCACUGAUUCAUCACUAUUGUAUCUACUUAAGCCACACUUUACUGAUCUAAAUAAGAAAGGGUCCAUUGUGUUUCCCUGUGGAUCACCAUUGAUUUUAACUUUAUUUAAGAGGCUUACAUAGAACAGCUAAAAGCUGACUAACCAGUGUGCCUCCCUACAUUAAAACUAAGAUCAAAUUACACAGAACAAGGAUAGAAGUGUUUAAGCUACAGUCCUAAAAUUGAAAGCUAAGAAUAGUCCUACAUAUCUUUAAAAUAUAUAAUAGACUUUCAUAGCUGUCUUGAUAUAGAUCUUUAAACUCAGCUGGGAGACUGUUCCAAAAUUUAAUUGUUGAAACUGUAAAAGAUUUUCCGUACGACUGAUCACAAUUGGUACUUCCUAAAAUAAACGGUCGCAUUGUGGAGCUAUGUGGUACACACGUAAAAACGCAGAAGUUGUUACAGGUUUGCAAACAAGUUGUUACAAAUCUGUUCACAAGCUGUCGCAGUCUGUUCGCACUGCUUGUUUCCAGUUGUUGUGACAAGUUUGGAACAAGCUGUUAACAACUUGUAACAAGUUUGAUGGCAUUAUCAGACUUGUUACAAAGUUGUUCUGACAAGUCUGAUGCAAUCAUGAUAUAACAAGAAUGUUACAAGGUUGUAACAAUAUUGUUAUAACUUUAUAUUGAACUUAUAUUAUGACUGUAUCGGACUUGUUGGAACAACCUUUCAACAAAUCUGAUAAUAUGAACAAGAUUGUUAUAACUGUUAACAAGUUGUUCCACACCUGUUGACAACUUGGAACAAGCAGUACGAACACAACUUGUUAACGGCUUGUUUGUGAGAUUUUUGCGUGUGUACACCAUUCAUUUUGGGUUUAGUCUUCUUGAGCUGAAUUGUUGUUCUUGCUUGACUUGACUGCAGGACGUGGGGAAUAGGCGGGUGGUGGUCCCAUUGUGGGGCCUUGUUGCACACUUUCUCUUGUAUUGACAUUUUCUUCUCCUUGUGUUUGGUUAAUUCAAACUGUGUUGCUAUAAUUGCUAGCUGAUGAAAACCUGUCGUGUCUAGUAGACUGAAACCGGAUUACUCUUCCAUGUGCUACUGAAGUAAAUUGCAUAUUGUUGGAACUUGAACCAUACGUAAUGGUGAAAAGCAAUACACUUAACCACUGUGUACCAAUACCCUUUAGCCGUACUUACACUGCGAGCCUUGGUCUAGUCUGAGCCUAGCCUUUGGUCGAAAGUUUUGCUGUGGAUACUAGCUUUGGCCCAGUACAGUAUAGGCCUGACCUAUAGUAGGCCACGAUAUCUUGGCCUACUGCGAUCGUUGUCCUCGACCUGGCCUAAACCAAUACUUGUGGUAAACAGUGUAAAUGUGACACAGUUACUUUGGCUUGGCUCAGACAAGGCCAAGACUCGCAGUGGAUACACAGCUUUGAACUACCACAAACAUUUCAUGAUAUAAGUGGUCAGUCAAUAUAGAAGUAUAUUUACUUUGAGUACAAAUACGACAAUAUCCGUCCACACAGCAACCCUUGUCAGUUGAAAAACAAUCAUUGGAAGUAGAGCAUGUGUCCAAAAUAUCUUUCACGUUGAAAGUAGGAAGUGAGAAAUGGAAACAAGAUCCACUAUCACAGUCCGAGUUUGUAGUGCAUUCGUUUAUUUGUUUCUUUCUACACUGGUAGCUUGUCUUUGGUUUACAUCUGAAACCGAUACAACAGCCAUCUGCACAUUCCGAGUCAUCAUAUAUGCAUUGAUCACUGCAUUCAUAUUAAAAGCCGUCUCCUUUGCAUGUUGCGUUAACGCAACAACCUUCCCAACAGUCUUCCGAUCUUAAACAUCUUUCUUGACACUUGACAAAAACGAUGAAUGGCGCGACCACAACCAAUAUAAUCAACCCCGCAUUAGUCAUGGUUAAUUCCUAUAACACAAGAACAAAUUCCCAGUUUCUUUAUGUGAAAAAGAUUGGUAAUUUACCACGAAAAUAUUAUGUUUUUAAGCAAACUCAAGAACCCUUCGCACUGUUUGACUGUCG
rnacentral:lncRNA from 1 species